ensembl:snoRNA Gm25383 small nucleolar RNA SNORA48
CUCUCCUGAAAAUGAGCAAAGAGACACCCUGUUGUUGGUGGUGUUCUUAUAUCAGUCAGGGGCAGAGUAGAUGGCUGUCUUUUUCAUCCUAGCUUGAUGCCUGGCUUAGUGGCCAAAUCUUUAUCAUGCCUAGGAUACAUAA